UGAAGGAAAGAGCUUGCUCUUUUUGGAUGAGUUGCGAACGGGUGAGUAACGCGUAGGUAACCUGCCUUGUAGCGGGGGAUAACUAUUGGAAACGAUAGCUAAUACCGCAUAACAAUGACUGACACAUGUUAGUGAUUUAAAAGGGGCAACUGCUCCACUACAAGAUGGACCUGCGUUGUAUUAGCUAGUUGGUGAGGUAACGGCUCACCAAGGCGACGAUACAUAGCCGACCUGAGAGGGUGAUCGGCCACACUGGGACUGAGACACGGCCCAGACUCCUACGGGAGGCAGCAGUAGGGAAUCUUCGGCAAUGGGGGCAACCCUGACCGAGCAACGCCGCGUGAGUGAAGAAGGUUUUCGGAUCGUAAAGCUCUGUUGUAAGAGAAGAACGGGUGUGAGAGUGGAAAGUUCACACUGUGACGGUAUCUUACCAGAAAGGGACGGCUAACUAC
rnacentral:rRNA from 1 species